UACAGAGGUCCCAAGCGUUGUUCGGAUUCACUGGGCGUAAAGGGUGCGUAGGUGGCCGGGUAAGUCUGACGUGAAAUCUCCGAGCCUAACUCGGAAACUGCAUCGGAUACUAUCCGGCUUGAGGAUUGGAGGGGGGACUGGAAUACUUGGUGUAGCAGUGAAAUGCGUAGAUAUCAAGUGGAACACCAGUGGCGAAGGCGAGUCCCUGGACAAUUCCUGACGCUGAGGCGCGAAAGCUAGGGGAGCAAACGGG
rnacentral:rRNA from 1 species